rnacentral:rRNA from 1 species
ACGAACGCUGGCGGCGUGCCUAGUACAUGCAAGUAGAACGCUGAAGGAGGAGCUUGCUUCUCUGGAUGAGUUGCGAACGGGUGAGUAACGCGUAGGUAACCUGCCUGGUAGCGGGGGAUAACUAUUGGAAACGAUAGCUAAUACCGCAUAAGAUUGACUAUUGCAUGAUAGUCAGUUAAAAGGUGCAAUUGCAUCACUACCAGAUGGACCUGCGUUGUAUUAGCUAGUUGGUGGGGUAACGGCUCACCAAGGCGACGAUACAUAGCCGACCUGAGAGGGUGAUCGGCCACACUGGGACUGAGACACGGCCCAGACUCCUACGGGAGGCAGCAGUAGGGAAUCUUCGGCAAUGGACGGAAGUCUGACCGAGCAACGCCGCGUGAGUGAAGAAGGUUUUCGGAUCGUAAAGCUCUGUUGUAAGAGAAGAACGAGUGUGAGAGUGGAAAGUUCACACUGUGACGGUAUCUUACCAGAAAGGGACGGCUAACUACGUG